CACUCCUCUGCAGAAAUAGGGAGUUGCAGGAGAAGAUGUUCAUUUGGUUACAAUGGCAUUGUAACAGCUCGCCCCGCUAAAAAGGCAAGGAAAAGAAAGCCUGAGACAGAAAUGUCUGCAAGGAAAAAGGCUCUGGAUAAAGAAAGAAGACAGACCCAAGUCAACAACAUCAGUGCUGCGUUUGAGUGGUGGAGACAACUGGGGCAUGUGAAGGGCCUGAAAAGUGAUACAGAGGUUGCUCUCUUUCUGUUGGGCAGAACGUCACGGAUGUCGAGGUCAGGGCAGUCUCGUAGUGUCACAGGACAAGUCUCCAACGAACCUCCAAAGAGAAUGUGAAUUAUGGCUGGGCUAAGUCCUGGGAAACUGGGGCCGCAAUGCAAAAAGGAAUGACCAAUCAUCCGGCCUGCAAUGGUGAACAUGUUAUUGUCAAGCAGCUCAUCUGAAACUGAGGGGAUGAGGUGGUCGGGUUCACCCUCGAAGAUUUGUGUGAUGGCUGUACCUGCAAAAGUGAUAAAUUGAGAAGAGAAGAGACAAUUUAGAGCACAAGACUGAAAAGAAAAUUAAGUUGAGAAUGAAGAUCACCUCUGAGCACUUUAUGGUCAGGAAAAGUUUUUAAUACCUUGAUAUUUUGAUACUAGAACUCUUUUCAUGGAAUUAAACCCAUAGCUCAACUCACCAGAUGUCUGAUAAGCUGUGUUAAUUAUUAUUAAUUGCACAUAAAUGUAUGUUUGUUAAAGGACUUAAACAAUUAAUCAAUUGU